CUGUGUACACGACGUGUAAGAAUAUCUUUUGGCACUAAAGGUUUUUGCUUUUUAGUUGAGAACAUCUUUCUCAUAUACUUUCUGAUUCUCCAACGUUUCUGUUUUGUCUUAAUCAAAUUUUCUAUGUAGUUUAUAUAAUCACCUUUUUGAUGCAUUUUUCAAUUGCCCUUGUCCUGGAUUUGCGUAGUUCAAACACAAUUUUUCUCUCCUCUAAUGGCAGUUAAUCUUCUUUCAGCUGCUCUAGCAAUACUUUUGUUGGCACUUGUGUGCAAUCAGGCAGAUUGUUACAACUCUUUAGAUCCGCACGGAAACAUCACUGUUACUUUCGACAUACAUAAAUGGACAUCAGAUGGCUAUAUGGCAAGAGUGACUAUCCAAAACUACUACCAGUAUCGCCACGUGGAGAAGCCAGGUUGGGCACUAGGAUGGUCGUGGGCCAAAGGUGAAAUAAUAUGGUCAAUGAUUGGUGCUUUUGCAACACAACAAGGGAAUUGUUCAGCUUUUAAGAAUCAAAUGAUUCCACAUUCAUGCAAGAAAAAUCCAACGAUUGCUGAUUUAAUGGAAGAUGCUAAAGCGGAGAAAAGAUCAGACAACUGCUGUCAUGGUGGACUUCUUUCUGCAUGGGCAAUUGAUUCUUCAAAAUCCUUUUCUAGUUUUGAAAUAGUAGUUGGCAAUUUGGAGGGAAAUUCUUCUGGUCAUAUGCCUCGGAAUCUCACUUUAAUGGCUCCCGGACCUGGUUACACUUGCGGAGCAUUUGGAGACACCGACCCCACCAUUUAUCUAGACAAUGAUGGUAGAAGAGAAAUGCAAGUUUUCAGGACUUGGAAAGCAACAUGUACUUACUCUUCCUUCAUAGCUAACAAGGCUCCGGUUUGUUGUGUUUCUCUCUCUACAUUUUACAAUCCUACUAUCACUCCGUGUCCCGCUGCAGCUGUACAUGUAGACUUGCUGCCGACAAUGGUGCAGGCUCGUGCAUAGGUGAUGGCUUCUGAUCCAGUGAUCUGGACAGUAACAACAACUUACUACAAUGCACUGAUCACAUGUGCCCGAUUCGGGUCUACUGGCAUGUAAUGAGGAACUAUGAUGGUUAUUGGAGGGUAAAACUUACUGUAACAAACUAUAAAUUUGGCACAAACUAUUCCGAUUGGAAUGUACUGGUGCAACAUCCUGGUUUCAAAAUGUCUCCUUCAACUUAUAGCUUCAACAGUACAUUGCUUCCAUCUUUGGGCUUUGAAGGUGAUAAGGUAGCUCUUUUCUGGGGCAUUGGUCACUACAACAGCGAACUUCCGCAAGCCAAACUGAAUCAAGAAGGAUAUGUGACAACUGAGAUACUUUUGGGGAAGGAUGUUAAGUCAUUUACACUGAGAAAUGGAUGGGCUUUUCCUCAAAAAGUUUCUUUUAACGGCGAAAACUGUGUAAUGCCUCUUCCUGAUGAUUUUCCAAUACUGCCUAGCAGUAGCUUCAUCUGGAAACCAAACACUUACCACCUUUUAUUACUUUUAACUGUCGUUUUUGGAAGU